AACGCACAUUGCGCCCGCCAGUAUUCUGGCGGGCAUGCCUGUCCGAGCGUCAUUUCAACCCUCGGAAGCCCCUUUAGGGGGGCCUCCGGUGUUGGGGAUCGCCCGCCGCCACGGUGGACGUCCCCUAAAACGAUUGGCGGUCUCGCUGUAGCCUCCUCUGCGCAGUAGCACUUGUUCUCGCAGGCGGAGCGCGGCGCGGCCCAGCCGUAAAACCCCCAACUUUUACCAGGUUGACCUCGGAUCAGGUAGGAAUACCCGCUGAACUUAA
rnacentral:misc_RNA from 1 species